rnacentral:rRNA from 1 species
UACGAAGGGGGCUAGCGUUGUUCGGAAUUACUGGGCGUAAAGAGCGUGUAGGCGGCCCCCAUUAGUCCGCUGUGAAAGUCCAGGGCUCAACCCUGGAAUGCCGGUGGAUACUGUGGGGCUAGAGUCCGGAAGGGGCGAGUGGAAUUCCUGGUGUAGCGGUGGAAUGCGCAGAUAUCAGGAGGAACACCAAUAGCGAAGGCAGCUCGCUGGGACGUUACUGACACUGAGGCGCGAAAGCGUGGGGAGCGAACAGG